UGAAUCAGAACAGCCACAUCAUCCUGUGUGGUCAAAUUGCUCAGUACAACAAAGAUGUGCCUUAUCCUCCUCCAUUACCCCCUGCUGUAGAAGCAAUCCUGAAAGAAAGAAACAUCACAAGAGAAAGAUUUCUGGUGUUAAAUUAUAAGGACAAAUUUGAGUCUGGUAUUCUACAGCUGAGUCAAUGGUUUAAAGAAGGAAAGCUAAAGAUCAAAGAAACUAUGAUAAACGGAUUGGAAAAUAUGGGAGGUAAGAUGAAUGUAGAUUUAUUUAUUAUAUACAUGUGCUCAGCA